AAAUAAGGGCACACAGGUAAUAAACAAAGCACUAUAAAAGAUCAGAUUGUGGUAUACCGUGGGCUCAUUUCAUUGUAGGAGCAAGGCAUUCUGCUCACCACUACCACCACCACCACAGCAGAUGCCUCGCCUUCAGUGCUGGGGCUAGAGGGUGAGGUGGGAGGGUGUCACUAUACCCCUCUCUUCCCUCCCCCAAGGCCACAUUAUUUGGAAGGGGCUCUGGGAAGUCCUCUUGGUCAUCUGAUCCACACCAGACAACAACCAGUGUCAGAGGAAAGGAUGUCAGGGGACAGACGGGGACCCUUGGAUGUGCUCAUUUGGAUUUUGGAUUUGACAUUAGUUCCUCAGUUUCAAGCCAUGUGUCAGAUCCAGGUAAUGAGUGAAUUGCAGUUCUUGAAGAAAAAUGAAGACUGAAUUUCCACAUUGCUCAUCAGUAUGCAUUGAAUCCAGAGUUGUCCCUUUCGUGCACACACAUACUUAACAUAAAAAUGUGUACUACUGCUUCUGUAAUUCUGCACAAAAGGUGUAAUCCUGUACCUUCACUGUUUUGGUAAUACUAGGAGAAACAUGGCCAAGCUGGAGAAGGAAGGUCUGCCCUCCAGGUCUUGGUUUUCUGCAGGAAAAGAGGAUGGGGCAUGGCUUGUGGAAAAGAGGAUGGUACAGAUGGAUGGACCAGAGUAAAGAGCCAGAGAGGAGCCUCCUCUCCAGAGAGGAGAAGAGCUAAUACAGAGCCAACAGAGAUCCUGUGAACUACAGGAAUAUUGAAUCAUGAUUAAGAGAAAAAGGAAUAAGUACACAAUGGGAUAACAAAUGCAAAGUUUUUGUCAACUAUGAAGUUAUCGUUAUCAUCCCAUCAUCUUCAUCAUCAAGUCGGCUCAAGUCUCUCAUGGAUUGGAUUGAAUGGAUUAGAAACGAGUCCAACAAUAUGUUGUUUGCAAGAAACACACUUGAAACAGAAAGAUACACGCAUAGGAGCUGGAG